CUGUUCACAGAGAUUUUACCUUGGAAAUGUAAUACCUUUUACCUCACACACCUGGCUCUCUCUCGAGGAAUUUCACUUCUUUGUUGUCAAAAUGGCGGUUGGGAAGACACUGCUUGUAUUAACAGUCGUGGGAGAGUUUUGGAUACAGGUUAUAUUUGGGUCCUGUCCAGCAGGGAGGUUUGGGAGAUUCGUGUAACUACUCCUGCCACUGCGGACACUCAUGUAACCAGACAACUGGAGUUUGUGGAGAUGGCUGUGAUAAAGGCUGGGUGGGAGGACACGGAGGAACUUGUCAAAAAGAAAACGUUGCCUACGGGAAACGUGCCGUUUCUGAACCUGGAGACAAAACUUACCGGUCUGCAAGCAAAGCUGUGGAUGGGAACCGGGACUCCUGCUUCCACUACAAACGUCCACCAAGUGUUUUGACGGUGGACCUGGGACAGCACUACAGGAUACACGACGUCAGAAUAUACGUGUAUCCAGGAUGUCCUUGGGGAAUGGAAACCGCUGUCCUCUCUCCGAGUAACUCCAGCCGCUCCACAUCUGGCGUACGUUGCUACAC